ACCAGAAUGGCCGAGUGGUUACGGUGUCAGACUUAAGAUCCGAUGGAUUCAUAUCUGAGUGGGUUUGAACCCCACUUCUAGUA
rnacentral:tRNA from 1 species